AUACGUAGGGGGCGAGCGUUGUCCGGAAUGAUUGGGCGUAAAGGGCGCGUAGGCGGCGCGGUAAGUCUGGAGUGAAAGUCCUGCUUUCAAGGUGGGAAUUGCUUUGGAUACUGCCGCGCUUGAGUGCAGGAGAGGUUAUCGGAAUUCCCGGUGUAGCGGUGAAAUGCGUAGAGAUCGGGAGGAACACCAGUGGCGAAGGCGGGUAACUGGACUGCAACUGACGCUGAGGCGCGAAAGUGUGGGGAGCAAACAGGAUUAGAUACCCUGGUAGUCCACACUGUAAACGAUGAAUGCUAGGUGUAGGAGGUAUCGACCCCUUCUGUGCCGUAGUUAACGCAAUAAGUACCCCGCCUGGGGACUACGGUCGCAAGACUAAAACUCAAAGGAAUUGACGGGG
rnacentral:rRNA from 1 species